CGGAUCAGGCACUGCUGUGGCUGUGGUGUAGGCUGGCGGCUACAGCCCCGAUUCAACCCCUAGCCUGGGAACUUCCAUAUGCCAAGAGCAUGGCCUGAAAAAAGGAAAAAAAAAAAAAAAAAGAUGAGAUGAGAAAAGAUGCAAGGUCAGGAGUCCUACGGUAUCCUGCAGACUCUGACUUUCCCUCUGCCCUCGAGGAUCUACUAAAUAUUCACCUCCACAGUUGUUUUCCGAGCUCAAGGGAUUCCCUCUUAAUCAAUAAACAUUUCACAACCACACAAACACCAUUAGCUGAAAAUAUUAUUUUGGCUUAGUACGUGUCCUUGUUACAUCGUGGUUUAUAUCUGGAAAGGCCUCCGUAUGAUCAUUAUACAUGGAAGCAGUGAUGUCUCGCUAAUGCAGCAUCACAGGGACGGCUCCUGUACGGGGGGGCUCCAGGCCAUAGCAGUGACCUUCCUGGAUAGAUGAAAAUGACCUCCCUAAAGACCAGCCCUUUGAAAAGUUUCACCAUUUUUCCUGGAACUCUUAGUUUUCAAAACCAUAACAAAAACUUCAAUAUUUAUGUAAUUAUCAAUGGAUUUUUUAAAUUCAUUGAAUUAAAAAACAUUAAUUUUAAAAAAUUGGAUUUUUUUUAAAUAAAAAUAUAGAGAUGCCUGCCUCUUUAUAAUGUGGAAAUCAAUUUAGCUUUUUCAUCGCCUUCCAGAGCAUCAUGAAGAGAAGGCAUAAUUGAACAUUGUAAUAAUUUGGUACUAGUUUUGCUUUACUCAGCAUUAGAUCACCAGAUGACACUUUGUGCCAUUAUUUCACCCAUUGGUCCCCCUUUUUUUUUUUGGCUUUUUAGGGCCACACCUACAGCAUAUGGAGGUUCCCAGGCUAGGGGUCGAAUUGGAGCUACAGCUACCGACCUACACCACAGUCAUAGUAAUGCCAGAUCCAAGCCACAUCUGCAAACUACACCACAGCUCAUGGCAACGCCAGAUCCUUAACCCACUGACCAAAGCCAGGGAUCGAACUCGUAUCCUCAUGGAUCCUAGUCGAGUUCGUUAACCACUGAGCCACAAAGAGAACUCCCAUUGGUCCCUUCUAAUGCACAGCUUCCAAGCUGCUCCAGACCAGCACACCAGGAGAUCAAACUGAGGAGUCAGAAACGACCUUGUCCACUGCUGGUGCUGGUGGGAAGAUAAACUGGCACAGCUGCUCUGGGUGGUUCCCCCCAAAAUAAAAAUAGAAUUAUCAUAUGAUCCAGCAAUCCCACUUCUGGGUAUAUACCCAAAAGAAUUUAAAGCAUGGUCUCAAUGAGAUUUUGUGUGCUCCUGUUCACAGCAGCACAGUUCACCAUAGCCAAAAGGUGGGAACAGCUGGAGGGUCUGUCGACUCUUGGUGGGUAAACAAAGUCUGGUGUAUACCUACAGUGGAGUAGUAUUCAGCCUUAAAAAGGAAGUGUUGUCAGAGUUCCCGGUGUGGCUCAGCGGAAAUGAGGCUGACUGGUAUCCGUGAGGACACAGGUUCGAUCCCUGGCCUUGUUCAGCGAGUUAAGGAUCGGGCAUUGCCGUGAGCUGUGGUGUAGGUCCCAGAUGUGGCUCAGAUCCUGCGUUGCUGUGGCUGUGGCAGAGGCCAGCGGCCGAAGCUCCAAUUCGGCCCCUAGCCUGGGAUGCUCUAUAUGCCACUAGUGCAGCUUUAAAAAAAAGGAAGUAUUUUCCCCCAGAGUCCCCACGUUGUCCUGGACAGAGUGAGUUUCCUUCCUGAGGUCAUUUCCACCCAGGCCACGACCUGUACCCGUCAUGGCCCACCCCUCACCCCCGCCCUGCCAUCUCCCAGCUCCCAAGGAGGUCAAAAGAGGAGCGAAGGGAACGGAAGAGAUGGGGAAGGGAAAAGUGGCUCAGGGGACAGCCCCCCUCUGCGCCGGGCGGGACGACAGCUGGAUCCGUGGGCACGUGCACCUAUAUGCUAUGAUCCCAUUUUACAGAUGACGGAAAGGCGGCUUCCAGUUUCCAAAUGCCAAAAUGAGUGGAGUGUGAGAAACAAGAAAGUGUUGGGAGUUGGUUACUCCCAGAUUUCUAGAGAAGUGAACCUGUGUCCCAGUGCUGCAGAGACAUGGCAGAUCGUGCUGUGGCACGGCAGGAACUCCCAGGCCUAUUCUUUUUUUUUUUCUUUUUUUUGUCUUUUGUCUUUUGUUGUGUUGUUGUUGUUGUUGCUAUUUCUUGGGCCGCUCCCGCGGCAUAUGGAGGUUCCCAGGCCAGCGGCUACAGCUCCAAUUUGACUCCUAGCCUGGAAACAUCCAUAUGCCAUGAGAGCGGCCCUAGAAAAGGCAAAAGGACAAAACAAAACAAAACAAAACAAAGCACAAGAGACAGUGGCUGGCUCCCUUACUAUGGCAAACUCAGAAUAAUGGCCCAUGGGUCGAGUCAACCUACGCCACAGCCACGGCAGCACUGGAUCCGAGCCACAUCCGCCACCUACAACACAGCUGGUGGCAACGCCCAGAUACUUAACCUACCUAGAAAGGCCAGGGGUCGAACCCACAUCCUCAUGGACACUAUGUCAGGUUCUUAACCACUGAGCCGCAACAGAAACUCCCGGCUUUUCUCAUUUUAUUGGUCUUCCUUUGUUUCCACAGAUGUUUACUAUAUAAUUAAAAAAUGCUAUUCAACCUUUUGCAACACUUAAUAACUCCCCAGACAUAACUGUUACAACCCUGGCUUACUAGCAAGACCACCGGCCUCGCCCGUCACCUCUCCCACUGGUUGUCAUGACAUUAACCAGCCAUCUGGCAAGUGACAGGAUCACCACGUGCCAUAUAGUUCUUUCAUUAUUAUAGCACUGAAAUUUUUAACAGUGGGCAAUCAUUUGAAAAAUUCUUUUAGAACAAUUCUUUUGCCACUUAGACUCUUCUAUGGUACUUACUUCAGAAACUGAGGAAGAGCAAGUAUUAAUUUGUUCUUAUGUUCGUGGAAGGUUGAGUGGCCGUCAUUGAUGACCUCCAAACAAUAGCAACGUUUGUACAUCCUACUUGAGAAUGUACAUGACUCCGAGCUCGCACCGCUCACUGCACGACAGACCAAUAAGCCAAGAGAUGACAUGUUGGGGCGAGGAAUAGUGACUUUAUUCAGAAAGCCAGCAGACCAAAAAGACGGUGGACUCGUGUCCCAAAGAACCAGCUUGCCUGAGUUAGCAUUCAGCCUUCUUUUAUACUAAAAGGGGAGGGCGCAACGUCAGCCACUUCCUGGUUCCCAUCGACCUCUGGAAGGGAUGUGUUAAUGUCUUCCUUCCCGCAGCCACUCACAGGUGGACCUGGUCAGGAUGUUUCCUGGGAGCUGAACAAGGGUAUUUUAGCUUCAUGCUCAUUACUUUGGGAGGCAGGGUUCCCAGAGAUGGGCCAUGAUUAUAAUUUAAGCUUACGGGCAACAGCCCUUUAGUGAUUAACUUGUAAUAGAACACAAAGCUUCUUGCCUCUUACACAGGUUAGGAACUCUUUCCGUUUGCCUGGAUCUGAAUAACCACCAGCUGCACGUCGGAGGUAAGAAAGUGUUUGAUAAAGCUGGGUCUAUGAUCGUGCUGAAUCGUCAUAAAGGAAAAUAUUUUUUAAAAUAGGCGCCACACUUUUCUCCUUGUACCUCCACAUAUAUGACUUCUCCCAGUUCUGUUAGCAGUAUCCAUUUGUCUCAGGCAGGGUGGUGCUUCUUAAGGAAGGAAGGUAAAGAGAAAAUGUUAUGUUUUUGCAGUCUAGCCAUUGCUUUUGAGAAAUUUGGAGGGGGGAUCUUUUUAGGGCCAUACCCUCAGCGUAUGGAGGUUCUCAGGCUAGGGGUCAAAUCAGAGCUGUAGCCGCUGGCCUACACCACAGCCAUAGCAACACAGGAUCCUUAACCCACUAAGCGAGGCCAGGGAUUGAAACUUCGUCCUCAUGGAUGCUAGUCAGAUUCAUUUCUGCUGAGCGGGAACUCCGCUUUUGAGAAUUUUUAAGAUCACAGACUUGCAAAGAGACAGAUGCUUUAUAUUUCCAGGGGCAAAUCGGGCUGGCUUGUGGAUUAUUACAAGAACAUAAUUUUUAACCCUGAUGAUCAUUUGAAAAAUGUAAGAGGAGUUCCCGUCGUGGCUCAGUGGUUAAUAAAUCCGACCCCGGAACCAUGAGGUUGAGGGUUUGAUCCCUGGCCUCGCUCAGUGGGUUGGGGAUCCGGCGUUGCCGUGAGCUGUGGUGUAGGUUGCAGACGCGGCUCGGAUCCCGCGUUGCUGUGGCUCUGGCAUAAGGCCAGCGGCUACAGCUCCGAUUCCACCCCUAGCCUGGGAACCUCAACACUGAAUGUGUUAGUUAUGUUAUUUUAAGGAAGUAAAGCAAACAUAUCUUUCAGAAACGUGAUUGAUUCUCACAUAGGGCUCAUUUUGAAUCCAUGCGUUAAGGCUCAUCAGCCCAGGUGAUAGGCUGUCAUUUCUGGUUCUUUAUCAAUUUGGCUCCCUCUAGUGGUCAGUGUGUGAGUUUACUAAAAUUCUCCAGUAGGUUCUCAUUCUUUAAAACGUCCUUUAAAAAACAAAGCAGCGUCAUUUCUUUUGUUUAGGGGGAACUGAUUGACUGAAAUUAAGAGAAUAUGUAUAUUUUUAGCAAAUAUGAUAAUCAUUUUUUGAAGAAUUACUAAGAUUUUAUAUAGGGUUGACAGAUUUAGCCAAUAAAAAAUACAAGGUACUCAGUACAAUUUAAAUUUCAGAUUAAGAAAAUUUUUUAAUAAUAAAUAUGCUCCAAAUAC
rnacentral:lncRNA from 1 species